rnacentral:rRNA from 1 species
UUUAUGGAGAGUUUGAUCCUGGCUCAGGAUGAACGCUGGCGGCGUGCCUAAUACAUGCAAGUCGAGCGAACGGACGAGAAGCUUGCUUCUCUGAUGUUAGCGGCGGACGGGUGAGUAACACGUGGAUAACCUACCUAUAAGACUGGGAUAACUUCGGGAAACCGGAGCUAAUACCGGAUAAUAUUUUGAACCGCAUGGUUCAAAAGUGAAAGAUGGUCUUGCUGUCACUUAUAGAUGGAUCCGCGCUGCAUUAGCUAGUUGGUAAGGUAACAGCUUACCAAGGCAACGAUGCAUAGCCGACCUGAGAGGGUGAUCGGCCACACUGGAACUGAGACACGGUCCAGACUCCUACGGGAGGCAGCAGUAGGGAAUCUUCCGCAAUGGGCGAAAGCCUGACGGAGCAACGCCGCGUGAGUGAUGAAGGUCUUCGGAUCGUAAAACUCUGUUAUUAGGGAAGAACAUAUG